AAAGAAAUAUUUUCCAAAGAAGCUUCUAACUUCUUAAAGAGCAAUUAAAUGUUCAU
rnacentral:tRNA from 1 species